AUACUUACCUGGCAGGGGAGAUACCAUGAUCAGGAAGGUCAAUUUCUAGUUCUUGGAAAUCACCACACUAUCUUCUAAAGAGGUUGCACUAGUUUGCAUUCCUACUGGCAAUGUAGAAGCAUUCCUUUUUCUCUUCA
rnacentral:snRNA from 1 species